rnacentral:RNase_P_RNA from 1 species
CGAGCCGGCCGGGCGGCCGCGUCGGGGUCUUCGGGCCCCGCCGAGGAACGUCCGGGCUCCACAGGGCAGGGUGGUGGGUAACGCCCACCCGGGGUGACCCGCGGGACAGUGCCACAGAAAACAGACCGCCGGGGGCCUCGGCCCCCGGUAAGGGUGAAACGGUGGUGUAAGAGACCACCAGUGCCCAGGGUGACCUGGGCAGCUCGGUAAACCCCACCCGGAGCAAGGUCAAGAGGAGCGCCGCGAGGUGCUCUGCGCGGACGUUCGAGGGCUGCCCGCCCGAGUCCGCGGGUAGACCGCACGAGGCUGUCGGCAACGGCAGCCCUAGAUGGAUGGCCGUCUCCCGACGGGCCGCGAGGCCCGCCGGUGACAGAACCCGGCGUACAGGCCGACUCGUCCG